rnacentral:tRNA from 1 species
GCGCCAGUAGCUCAGCUGGAUAGAGCACCGCCCUCCUAAGGCGGGUGUCGGGGGUUCAAAUCCCUUCUGGCGUGCCA